CCUACGGGAGACAGCAGUGGGGAAUAUUGCACAAUGGGCGCAACUCUGAUGCAGCAACGCCGCGUGAGUGAUGAAGGCCUUCGGGUCGUAAAGCUCUGUCCUCAAGGAAGAUAAUGAUGGCACUUGCGCAGGAAGCCGCGGCUAACUACGUGCAAGCAGCCGCGGUAAUACGUCGGGGGCUAGCGUCAUCCGGAAUUAUGGGGCGUAAGGGGUGGGGGGGUGGUUACUUAAUUCAGAGGGGAAAGGCUACGGCCAAACCGUAGUAAGCCUUUGAAACUGGGGAACUUGAGUGCAGGAGAGGUAAGUGGAAUUCCUAGUGUAGCGGUGGAAUGCGUAGAUAUUAGGAGGAACACCAGUGGCGAAGGCGGCUCUCUGGACUGUAACUGACACUGAGGCACGAAAGCGUGGGGAGCAAACAGGAUUAGAUACCCUAGUAGUC
rnacentral:rRNA from 1 species